GACGAACGCUGGCGGCGUGCUUAACACAUGCAAGUCGAACGGUGAAGCGCCUUCCUUUUUGGUGGGUGUGGAUGAGUGGCGAACGGGUGAGUAACACGUGAGUAACCUGCCCCCUUCUUCUGGAUAACCGCAUGAAAGUGUGGCUAAUACGGGAUAUUCUGGGUCUGUCGCAUGAUGGGUCUGGGAAAGAUAUUGUUUCGGUGGGGGAUGGGCUCGCGGCCUAUCAGCUUGUUGGUGGGGUGAUGGCCUACCAAGGCGGUGACGGGUAGCCGGCCUGAGAGGGUGGACGGUCACACUGGGACUGAGACACGGCCCAGACUCCUACGGGAGGCAGCAGUGGGGAAUAGUGCACAGUGGGCGCAAGCCUGAUGCAGCGACGCCGCGUGAGGGAUGGAGGCCUGCGGGUUGUGAACCUCUUUCGCCAGUGAAGCAGGCCUGCCUCGUUUGUGGGUGGGUUGACGGUAGCUGGAGAAGAAGCGCCGGCUAACUACGUG
rnacentral:rRNA from 1 species